GGGCCCGCACAAGCGGUGGAGCAUGUGGUUUAAUUCGAUGCAACGCGAAGAACCUUACCUGGUCUUGACAUACACAGAAUCUUGUAGAGAUACCUUAGUGCCUUCGGGAACGCAGAGACAGGUGCUGCAUGGCUGUCGUCAGCUCGUGUUGUGAAAUGUUGGGUUAAGUCCCGCAACGAGCGCAACCCUUGUCCUUAGUUACCAGCGGGUUAAGCCGGGAACUCUAAGGAUACUGCCAGUGACAAACUGGAGGAAGGCGGGGACGACGUCAAGUCAUCAUGGCCCUUACGACCAGGGCUACACACGUGCUACAAUGGUAGGUACAGAGGGCAGCUACACAGCGAUGUGAUGCGAAUCUCAAAAAGCCUAUCGUAGUCCAGAUUGGAGUCUGCAACUCGACUCCAUGAAGUAGGAAUCGCUAGUAAUCG
rnacentral:rRNA from 1 species